rnacentral:hammerhead_ribozyme from 1 species
AUCCAGCUGACGAGUCCCAAAUAGGAUGAACCGUGCAU